rnacentral:SRP_RNA from 1 species
GGGUUGGUCCCUCGCGGCACUAAGCAGAAAACCCCGCCAGGUCAGGAAUGAAGCAACGGUAUUUGUGAUGUGGGCGCCGAGGUUCAGCUGGCUCAAG